rnacentral:snoRNA from 1 species
CACCUCCCGAUUUCUUGCCCCUUGGAUCUAAAUAUUGUUCUGAGUGACUAAAAAGAAAAGAAGGAAAAGUAAAUGAAGUGGACUUGGAGUCUUUAGUGACCAAGUCAUUUCAAACAUAU